GACGAACGCUGGCGGCGUGCUUAACACAUGCAAGUCGAACGGAAAGGCGCUGCUUUUGUGGGGUGCUCGAGUGGCGAACGGGUGAGUAACACGUGAGUAACCUGCCCUUGACUUUGGGAUAACUUCAGGAAACUGGGGCUAAUACCGGAUAGGAGCUCCUGCUGCAUGGUGGGGGAUGGUAAGUUUCGGCGGUUGGGGAUGGUCUCGCGGGUUAUGCGCUUGUUGGGGGGGUAGUGGCUUACCAAGGCUUUGACGGGUAGCCGGCCUGAGAGGGUGGCCGGCCACAUUGGGACUGAGAUACGGCCCAGACUCCUACGGGAGGCAGCAGUGGGGAAUAUUGCACAAUGGGCGGAAGCCUGAUGCAGCAACGCCGCGUGCGGGAUGACGGCCUUCGGGUUGUAAACCGCUUUCGCCUGUGACGAAGCGUGAGUGACGGUAAUGGGUAAAGAAGCACCGGCUAACUACGUG
rnacentral:rRNA from 1 species